UAUUCAUUAGUUAAUCCUUGUUGAUAAACUGAUGUGACCCUAGGAGGCUGUUCUAGUUACUAGGGAGGCAACCAUUAAAUUUUGAGCCAAUUUGAAAACAAGGCCUGGGAGAAGCCUAGAAUAAAGAAACAUCAUCAAGAUUUGACGACAAGGCCAAAUCCCAUGAAGUCCAAGGAUCCAGUUCGUGCAAGCUUAGAUCGGGUAAGAUGGAUCAUCGAUGCCAUCAAGAUCGAAAAGCAUUAUGAGUCAUCGAGACAACCGACCCAAAGAAGUAUCAACGAUGAUGAGUUAUGGGCUUUUGGAUUGAUCCUAGAAGAUGACAGUGGCAUGUCCAAGACGACGCAUAAAGGAGAGGUACCAAUGGGCGGAUGACUCGAUCUUCUUCCUGGCCUGCUAGGCCCAACCCGCAGCCUAGCACGCCACGCACUGGAGGAAAAUGUGCAGCCCAUGUCACACGCCCCUGCAGGUGAGCCGACCGAGGCCCAUUGGGAAGAUUUGAAGACUAGCCUGAUCCAGUAGACCCGCACCUGAGAAAGAAGGAACCGGGCCAAACAACCAACCCAGUAAGCCAGCCUAGCAGCCCCGCCCAGUAGUAGCCGCGAGCCCAACCGAGGAGAAACUCGAGUGGGCU
rnacentral:lncRNA from 1 species